rnacentral:lncRNA from 1 species
UGAGACAUCUUUGGUGCAAAAAGGUGGUUUUAUUAAAGCACGGGGACAGGACCCGUGGGCAGAAAGAGCUGCACUGGGGUCAUGAGGAGUGACCCAUUAUAUACUUUCAAUUUGGGAGGGGCUUAGGGACAGCAAGUCUCUUAAAGAAUUUUGGAAGCAAGGUUUCCAGGACCUUGAGGGGGCUAGCUGUUGUAAGGAAAAGAUCACUUAUUACCAUCUAAUGAAACCUUAGUCAUGAGACCCUUCAGAUGUAUAUUGCUGGGUCAUAGGCUUGGGGGAUGAUUGCCAACACCAUCUUGGGGUGGGGGUGGUGGGGGGGGGUUGGGCUAGGAUUGCCUGUUGCCCUUUAGCAAAGUGUCAACAUCGAGAUAGUUGAGUCCCUAGAGGAAAGUCACUCUGCCUGUUUCAAGGACUUGUCAAUGGGCUGUAGAUAGUAAGGAAAUUUAAUAAUUUUUCUUCUACCUUUGUUUCCUACAUCAUAGAGACCCUUCAGACAUGUAUCAGUGGGUCACAUGUUUGGAGGAUAUUUGCCAACAGGUAUCUUGGGGGCGUAGAGAUUAAGGAAGUUUCCAAAGGAAUUUUUAUAUAUUAAAGUAGACUCAUAGGGUCCUGGGGGGUUGGGCUAGGAUUGCCUUUCACCCUUAGGGAAGUAUUAACAUCGAGGCAGCUGAGUUCCUAGAGGAACAUCGCUCUGCCUGUUUCAAGGACCUGUCGAUGGGCUGUAAGUAGUAAGAAAAUUUUUCUUUUGUCUUUGUUUCCAUCAGCUCUCUUCUCUCUUUCGUUUUUCCCUUUCCCGAUGAGACUGUCCCUGACUACCACGAGGUUGCCUCGCCCCUGGAACACUGGAGACCAGACCUACUUCAGACCACAGCCUGUACCACCUUCCCAGACACCAUGUAACUGGUCACGGACCAUCUAGAGACGCGGAACUCCACUAAGCUUACCUAACAGGCUGUAGGAGCUGUUUCUCCUGCUGUUUUCACUAUCAUCCUCUGGUGGGGCUGUGAGCGAGCCGACAAACCGGCCCUAG